AUUUUUCUCUUUUGGGGAAUUUUGGCGGUUGUUUCAGGGGCUAGCCAACUGGCCCCUUUAAUUAAAAGCUUCAAUAAAAGGCGAUCGCUCCAGGAAUGCACCCGCUCCUCUUCGUGCAGGAUUUGCAUAUUUUUUUAAUGCCCUAAUUUCCUUGAUGUAUGUAAAUGUAGCCGGACGUAGAGGGAGACAGGGAGCUGACGUCAAUGGACGUGACCUCGCAGCUAAACCUUGAACGUGAAGCCGGGAUGGGGGAAAACACGGAGCGGCAGCCGGUGGAGCCCGAAAGCCUGUGUGGCUGUAUUUUCAGUGGCGGAGCCCCAGCCGGAGCUGCCAAGGGCGGCCCGACCAGCCCCAGGGGAGGACGAGCGGCUGCCUGGUUUCUGCCCCGCGGCAGUUGCCAGCCUUGCCACGUACGCAGACUCAGGUUCUGCUCCUCCAGCCCCACCAAAUACAGGUUCUUUUUUUCUCUCCCGGGGGUGGGGGAUAAAGAAAGAAAAUAGAAAAGAAACAAACACACACCUAAAACAACAAGCCGAAAGCAACAGAUAACAAAAUAAACGAAUCCCAAGCGUCUUAGAACAACGCUUGGGUCGCUUGUCAGAAAGAAGAUUGACAAUGGGACAUUAUUUUUUCUUGUCUCCACAAGAAGAGGAGAGGGAGACAACAGACACCAGCAAAGCAUUCCUAAAACACGAUAUGCUACACAUGUUCCCAGUAGGGACAGACGCCUAAAGGAGCCUGUUUGUGUGCUGUGGCCACGUUCUGCUGUGACUGGAUCUUGUCUUCUGCCUGGGUCCUCGAUUUCCGUCCGGCUGAAUUUGGGGACAACACUGCUUGGCGCAGACAGAUCAAAUGAGACUUCAAAGAAGCAUAUCCUGAACAAGCUAUUCAAUCAACCAAAGGCCGGGGCAGCAGUACGCCAGCAAGACGCAUCUUCUCCCCGCCUAGAAGUCCUGAGAAAUCGAGGAUCUCUCCUAAAACAUUCAUAUACAAGAUAUGUGCAAUCAAGCUUCCAGCACUUGGUACAAAGCUCAUGAUGCCUAACCCAGUGAUCCGGAGCAGAUCUUUGAAUCAGCUGUCACUUCUAUAGAAUGGGAUUUUCCCCUUCUUCCUCUUUAACCAGCGUUGGAAACUGCCUAUGGCUUUACACAUCUCAGUAGAGGAAGGCUAAAGAAUCUUACGUGAGAAUGAAGCAAUUUACAAUGCAAAUAGAGGCCUGUGAAGAGCUGGACGCUGCUGCUCUACCCCCAACAGCUUGCUGCACCUUAGUCGCUGGUCUUAUUUUCCGAUACUAAUAGAUGAAUUGUUGGCUAACGAUGCUGGAGAUUACUUGCUGGAAGGGGAAAGAAAAAGUUUGGAAUAAAUUCUGAAUGCAACAGAUCUCAUUUGGAUGUUCUAGACGCAUACACCCAGACAGAAACCAGGUCAUGUUUACAUGAAAGGAGAAUCUUAAACGCGGCGAAUAUCCUUCCCUGAGGACUAUGCUUCCCCCAAACCAACGAGGAUCCGGAUCUGGAGUCCAGCCAGAGGAAGACAGCCUUGUGAGGGAAGCGAGUUGUUAUCUUUGGUUAUCUAGCUGUAUGAGUGUAUUGGUCUUCAUAAAGCUAGAUAACCGAAAGUAAAAACUCCUUCAAGAUCACCGAGGAGUGCUCCGGAAAGAAAGACUACAGUCAAGAGACAGUAAAAACCAGAAAGGUCAGGAAUGCUUAUUGAAUCUAACUUUUUUUUUCUUAUGGUUGAAAGUGGGAUGCAAGGAAACUUAAGUGACACAUAUACUGAAAUCCUAAGGGGCCAGGUUUUGAGGGGGUUGUACAACUGGAGAGGAGAAUUGUGUAGUAUUUUUAUGGGCGAAGAUGCAUGUAUUUUCUAUAUUGUUCUAUUUUGAAGCAAACGUUUACUUAUGGGAUUUUUUUUCUUAGAAAGCUGUUAUAGCGAUGCCUGGUACCUCGUUUUAAAAAAUGAUUUCAUAAUUAUGUAGAUUGGGCAGUUCCCAUCUGAGGCUCCUCCCCCAAGUUUGAAGCUUGUGCCUGGAAACUUUCUAUGUAUUUGGUGUGUACAUCAAAUUCUGUGAAGUUAGACUUUCAGAAAGCUUAUACUGGGAGGUUAAUAAUUUAUCUCUACCGAGGACUUAGAGCUAGAAGGGAAAAGGGGUGGGGGCAAAGGCUGAUUUUUAUUCUUCUAUUCAAAAUACAAGGACAGAUGCUUCUCUGUUCCAAGAGGGUUUCCUUGAGGAAGCUACUGAAGCAGAAAGACAUGAUGGAGACGAGAUCGCCUCCCCUCUUGUCAAAGUGUUAAAAAAAUGUUCUGUCUUACUCUGCGCCUAGCAUUGGAAAUGAAAGUGACAUUUACGCCACAACCCACGUGUGCGCCUCCUCUCUUUUUGUUUAAGGAUGAUCAGGUCUAUCCAGGAAACAGCUCUGGCAUCCCAAACUGAAAUAAUUAGGACGUAUAUAGACCUGACAAAAAUGGAAGGGGGUGGGGAAUCUGAGGGUCUGUCUUGCCUAAUUGAUUCCGCUAAACGGAAAGCAGGAGAUGUGAACGGCAGGACGCUCCGAUUCCCACGCUCGGGGGCAAGUGGUAAAGCCUGGCCGGCAGCCUAUGACAGACAGCCCUGUUGGGGGGUAGGGGGAUGAAAAAAACAUCAAGCGCACACACACCAUACUCAUCUCCAUCCUUAAGAAAGUAAAGGCAUUUCCCACCCACAGCCAUCUGCAGCCUUCCAAAUGGCAACACCAACUGGUUGGUGACUGCUACGCGUACUGUCUCUGUUAUUUUUUUUUAAACCUCUGUUUAAUCUGGCCAUGAUUAAAUUUGGUUUUCUCCUUUGGUUGAAAUUUUCAUUAUUUAAGGAAAGCAAGUGCCAAGACCAUCCCAGGACUGCAUGCCCUCCUCAGAGAAGUCCUCGGUAUGUGGUUAGGGCCUGUGACCACCUUUGGCUUUUGUUUUGGCUGUGUUAUAUUUAAAAGUCACAUCUCAUAGCCCUCCUUACUAUGACUUACUUCAUUGGGUUGUUUACUUCCUUGUGUGACACACAAGGACUUGACCUACUGAUGCUGAUCUACAUUCUGAAAAUAAAGCUGGAAAGGCAUCAGCCUAUAGAAAGUUGGUUGCAACCACAGUAUGUUAAAGAACUUGUUUUAAAAUAGUCCUAGCAGAAUGUGCUUUUUUUCUUUUCUUCCUCCUCCUCCUCCUCCUCCUCUCCCUCCUCCUCUUCCUCCCUCUUCACCUAAAAGUAACUAGUCCCAGCAUAAACUUUGAGGUUUUGAGGAACCAUGGUAGUCCUUUUUUGAAAUUCCUUAUAUUCUGUUACAUUUUAUCAGGCAAACAUUUGUAUAGGCAUUUGCACAUAAAUAUAAGGAUGGCAAUGAAAAAAAAAAUCCCCAAACUGCCUGUUAUCUUCCACAUGGCCUAAAUUACUGAGACUCCCAAAUGCAUACUUUUUCUUCAGGGACAGUACAUUUUUCUUUACAGCUUCAACCUCUUACAGGGUUGAGACUAGAGGAACCAGUAAAGCCACUGGUACUCCCAUUUAGAAAAGCCAAGAGACUUUAAUAACGUAAAUUCUCAAUUUGGCUGCUGAACAUGUGCCAAAGUUUUACGGCUGUAGUGACUGUCGAGAAGACCCUUGUUUAUUUACCUUUAAAGCACUGUUUGUGCAAACAAGCCUUCAUUGUUAAGUGCCUGUAUUCCUUUCAUUUGCUUCUUGUCCAGGGGUGCUAUUUACCUAGAACCAUUGUCUACUACAAUUAACAUUUACAUUACAAAGUGUGUGCUUUUCCUUCUCAAGGAGGUUCAAUUAAGGCAAUAAGAUGUUUGCUGGGGAAACCUAUUGUUUACUCAAAGCACUCAAUGGGGUCAAAUUACUGAAGUUUUUGCCUACAUCUUGGGUUGUUUAUGUAAAUAUGUUAACUAUAACAUCUAAGGAAAAUAAACAAUAUUAAAAUUAUGUGUUUGCCAUUGUCAUAUCCAACUUGCUUUGUAUCAUACUAAUGUUACAUAACUUAUCGAUCAAUAAAAAUACAUUUCAAUGUUAUUUUCAUUUUACUUUUUGCUGUUCCACUGCUCCUGCUGCAACAUGUCCCAAAUUUUCUUUUU
ensembl:lncRNA